CACCCCUCAAGCCUUGCUUGGUGUUGGAGCACUACCGUUUGUAUAAAGCGGUAGGCUCUGAAAUUCAGUGGCGGGCUCGCUAAGACUCUGAGCGUAGUAGUUUAUCACCUCGCUUUGGAAGGAUUAGCGGUGCUCUUGCCGUAAAACCCCCCAACUUCUGAA
rnacentral:misc_RNA from 3 species